UACGGAGGGUGCGAGCGUUGUCCGGAAUCACUGGGCGUAAAGGGCGCGUAGGCGGCGCGGGCAGUCAACGGUGAAAGCUUGGGGCUCAACCCCGAGUCGGCCGUCGAUACUCCCGGGCUGGAGCACUGUAGAGGCAGGUGGAAUUCCGGGUGUAGCGGUGGAAUGCGUAGAGAUCCGGAAGAACACCGGUGGCGAAGGCGGCCUGCUGGGCAGGAGCUGACGCUGAGGCGCGACAGCGUGGGGAGCAAACAGG
rnacentral:rRNA from 1 species